UACGUAGGGGGCAAGCGUUGUCCGGAUUCAUUGGGCGUAAAGAGCGUGUAGGCGGCCAGGUAGGUCGGUUGUGAAAACUGGAGGCUCAACCUUCAGACGUCGACCGAAACCAUCUGGCUAGAGUCCGGGAGAGGAGAGUGGAAUUCCUGGUGUAGCGGUGAAAUGCGCAGAUAUCAGGAGGAACACCUGCGGUGUAGACGGCUUACUGGACCAUCACUGACGCUGAGGCACGAAAGCGUGGGUAGCGAACAGG
rnacentral:rRNA from 1 species